GACAGAGGGUGCAAACGUUGCUCGGAAUUACUGGGCGUAAAGGGCGUGUAGGCGGGAAGGUAAGUCGGGCGUGAAAUCCCCAAGCUCAACUUGGGAACUGCACUCGAAACUACCUUUCUUGAGUGCCGGAGAGGAAAGCGGAAUUCCUGGUGUAGAGGUGAAAUUCGUAGAUAUCAGGAGGAACACCAGUGGCGAAGGCGGCUUUCUGGACGGUGACUGACGCUGAGACGCGAAAGCGUGGGGAGCAAACAGGAUUAGAUACCCCAGUAGUCC
rnacentral:rRNA from 1 species